GGAAACGACAUCGAAAGCUUGCUUUUGAUGGGCGUCGACCGGCGCACGGGUGAGUAACGCGUAUCCAACCUGCCCACCACUUGGGGAUAACCUUGCGAAAGUAAGACUAAUACCCAAUGAUAUCUCUAGAAGACAUCUGAAAGAGAUUAAAGAUUUAUCGGUGAUGGAUGGGGAUGCGUCUGAUUAGCUUGUUGGCGGGGUAACGGCCCACCAAGGCUACGAUCAGUAGGGGUUCUGAGAGGAAGGUCCCCCACAUUGGAACUGAGACACGGUCCAAACUCCUACGGGAGGCAGCAGUGAGGAAUAUUGGUCAAUGGACGAGAGUCUGAACCAGCCAAGUAGCGUGCAGGAUGACGGCCCUAUUGGGUUGUAAACUGCUUUUAUAAGGGAAUAAAGUGAGUCUCGUGAGACUUUUUGCAUGUACCUUAUGAAUAAGGAACCGGCUAAUUCCGUGCCAGCAGCCGCGGUAAUACGGAAGGUCCGGGCGUUAUCCGGAUUUAUUGGGUAUUAAAGGGAGCGUAGGCCGGAGAUUAAGCGUGUUGUGAAAUGUAGAUGCUCAACAUCUGCACUGCAGCGCGAACUGGUUUCCUUGAGUACGCACAAAGUGGGCGGAAUUCGUGGUGUAGCGGUGAAAUGCUUAGAUAUCACGAAGAACUCCGAUUGCGAAGGCAGCUCACUGGAGCGCAACUGACGCUGAAGCUCGAAAGUGCGGGUAUCGAACAGGAUUAGAUACCCUGGUAGUCCGCACGGUAAACGAUGGAUGCCCGCUGUUGGUCUGAAUAGGUCAGCGGCCAAGU
rnacentral:rRNA from 1 species